rnacentral:rRNA from 1 species
CCUUCGGGUCUAGUGGCGCACGGGUGCGUAACGCGUGGGAAUCUGCCCUUAGGUACGGAAUAACUCAGAGAAAUUUGUGCUAAUACCGUAUGAUGUCGAAAGACCAAAGAUUUAUCGCCUAAGGAUGAGCCCGCGUAAGAUUAGCUUGUUGGUGAGGUAAAAGCUCACCAAGGCGACGAUCUUUAGCUGGUCUGAGAGGAUGAUCAGCCACACUGGGACUGAGACACGGCCCAGACUCCUACGGGAGGCAGCAGUGGGGAAUAUUGGACAAUGGGCGAAAGCCUGAUCCAGCAAUGCCGCGUGAGUGAUGAAGGCCUUAGGGUUGUAAAGCUCUUUUACCAGGGAUGAUAAUGACAGUACCUGGAGAAUAAGCUCCGGCUAACUCCGUGCCAGCAGCCGCGGUAAUACGGAGGGAGCUAGCGUUGUUCGGAAUUACUGGGCGUAAAGAGUACGUAGGCGGUGAUUCAAGUCAGAGGUGAAAGCCUGGAGCUCAACUCCAGAACUGCCUUUGAAACUAGAUCGCUAGAAUUAUGGAGAGGUUAGUGGAAUUCCGAGUGUAGAGGUGAAAUUCGUAGAUAUUCGGAAGAACACCAGUGGCGAAGGCGACUAACUGGACAUAUAUUGACGCUGAGGUAC